CACUCCCGUACGUCACGAGACUUCGCGAGAUUAAUGGAGACUGGAAGCGUCGGACCGAAAGCUAUCGUGACUGCUAAUGAAUCAUCCACAUAAUUCCACACGUUCAACAACUUUAAUGAGUUGAUAAUGCCUCGAACAUCAAAGAGACGUUGUAUUGGCUACAGGGAUAAGUGUAGAGCAAGGAAGCGGGUUAGAAAACCCAAAGUUUUGGAUGCCCAUACCAUUGAACAGCAACAUAUACUUAUUGAUUCAGAUGCCAAUACCAUCGAAGAACAGCUCAUACUUAUUGAUGAAAGGUUUAACCAAGACCCAAUUGAACAGCAUUUUGGGAUACAUAGGACCAGUGGAGGUUGCAAUAACAAUCCAACUGUGAACCAGUUUAACCAUGCUAUGGUCAAAAUAAGGACAGUAGGUCAGCAUGCAAUUGCACCAGUGAGGGGUAAUACCAAAAGGAGACUGAACUAUCCACAUGUCAUAGACAAUAAUCCUCUUCCAAAGCGUCCACGUCACUCAUUGUAAAGAUAGUACAAAU